rnacentral:rRNA from 1 species
CACGUAGGGCGCGAGCGUUGUCCGGAAUUAUUGGGCGUAAAGAGCUCGUAGGCGGCCUGUUGCGUCCGCUGUGAAAGCCCGGGGCUUAACCCCGGGUCUGCAGUGGAUACGGGCAGGCUAGAGGUAGGUAGGGGAGAAUGGAAUUCCCGGUGUAGCGGUGAAAUGCGCAGAUAUCGGGAGGAACACCGGUGGCGAAGGCAGAUCUCUGGGCCGUAACUGACGCUGAGGAGCGAAAGCGUGGGGAGCGAACAGG